ensembl:lncRNA
CUCUGUAGCUACAGCAGUCUGCUGAGAAGAUACAUCUGUCACCACAGCUGUGCCUUCUGCUCCCCAUGAGCUGUAUCUGCUUGGCUGAGCUGAUUUCCUGUCUGUGCCAGCACUGCCUGGCUCUUCUCUAGGAGUGCUGAGGAAGAUCUGUGCUAGUAGAAUCAAAUUGGUGUGUUUAUUUCUCUGUCUCCCUCUGUUAAAAGCAAGAAAUUAAAUGAGCCUGAUCAUACCUGAGAUUCUGGAUGCCUAAAAUUUCACUGAAAAUGUUGAAAGGUCAAGCCACCCUGCUGUGCUUUUCUGUGGCAGAUGACAGGACUAAAACCAUGCUUAAAAGCAGCCUGCAUGCAAGGCCUCCUUUGUAGAGCGUGAAGGAGAACUUACAGUGUGGUAUUUUUUUUUCCUACAAUCUUUUGUUGAGUGAAAUGUCUUAAAUAGAAACUAGUCCUGAUCUGGAUGAAAACCUAUCCAGAGGACUGAACAAAUAGGCACCUUUAUUGUUUCUAGAAGAGAUUAAUGGAUAUUCUGUUACUUUAAGGCUUUUUUUUCUCCCUCUUUUUGCUUUUUAUUUUUUUCCAUUUCUUUUUCUGUUUUAAAUAGCUAAAAUAGCUGUUUUUAAAUUACAGAAGAAUGUGAAAUGCUAUACUUUAGCUCAGCUGUAUUCAGCUCUUUUAACACAGAUUAUAAAUCCUUUUCUAAGUAAUGAGGAAAAGAAAAAAAAAGAUGCACAAUAGAAUUGAUUGUUGAUAGGAAACACAAUAUUUUCAUUGCCACAUAACAUUAGUAUUUUUCUCUGCUGUUUUUCUUUCAACAUUUUAAUAACAUUGUAAUAAAUCAAUAUCAAAAAUACAGCCAAGUAAAGUCAUCAUUAACAAGCACAGGAUAUGGAAUGAGUGCAGUCCUAGACACUGUCUUUCUCCAGUAGAUAAAGGAUCUGUUAUUAAAACUAAUCAGGUACUUAAUAGCUAUAAUUCUGUAGGGUAUCAAGCAACGUUAGCUUUAAUUCUUAGUAAGAUGAAAUUCACAAUUGCUGAAAAAAUAGGUAAUUUAUAUUCUAAGGAAAUCAGAAGACCAAAGCUGUUUGAUCAGUAGUAUAUCAGUGUAUCAGUGACAUACUUAAAUUAUAGGAACUCAGUUUCCUGCUAUAGUGUGACGGAUGAUCUUGAGUUAAAACUUUUGAAUUGUUCUAUACUGCUUGUAGUAUUCCCUCAUUGUUAUAAUAAUUUACUUGAGGAGUCUGGAUUUUCAAAACUGUUUCUCAGAGCAGAGGCUGCAAGAGGAGGUUCAAGUAUUACCCAUUUCUGAAAAGCCAACGUAUUUCAGUAAGGAAAGAAACAACUAUUUAAGGAAAUCUUAACCAAGCUAGAAGAGAUAAUUACUCUUUCACUUGGCUGAGUGAAAGGGGACUGUUAAACAACUUCACUUCUCAACAUUUGUAUUGCCUGAGAUAUGAUGACAGCUGUGAAGUUGAUCCAUGGGUAAAGGUCUAUCCCAUUCUUCAUGAGCCCACUGAGGUUGGCUGGGCAUGUGCUCUCAGUGCUUGUUUUCCCAGUACUCCUUUUGAAGGUGAGCACCAACAUCAGUGACAAGAACUGUCAGUUCCACUCCUCAAGCUUCUUGGCCUUUAUUGUGUCUCAGACAGUAGAAACUAUGCUGGUGUAUGGGACAUCUGGGGCUUACGUCAUAUUGUAUCAACACUGACAACUUAUUAUUUGUUUCCAACCUUACAGAGUUGUUGGAGUCUUUUUUAAGGGUAUUUCCCUGCUGCAUGAGUUGAUCUCUAGUUUACUCAUAUUUUGUGGGUAGGGGAAAGAUGUCAGUAUUUCCAUUAGUUAAAGUUGUGUUCAGCAUUAAGAGUUUGUAAUUACCACAGAAAAGUAAGCAGUAUUGUUGAGGAAAAGGAAAAAUCACAUCUCUCAGAUCCUCUGUUUUUUAUCUAGUUGUCAAAAGCCCCAACAUAAAAGCUGAGGUUUUAUUUUUAUACAUACACAAAAAUGGUAAAUACCCCAGAAAGCUAAUAAGCCAUGAAGUUUAGGAUUCAUUCAGUGCUGUGAUAGAAUAACCAAAACAACAACUAGUCAGAGCUCUCUUGAGAGCGGGGAGGAGCUUGAAAGUUCAUUGUUUGAUAGUCUCAGAAGACUCAAAUCAUUUUCUAAAUUAUCACAGUAUUAGAUCAUUAUCCAUGUCAUACUCUAAAAUGUGGGGCAUGACUUCUACCUCCAUCAUAGAGAAGACAAUUCUAUCUCUUUGUAAAUCUCUUCAGAUUCAGAAAUAAGUUAAAAAAAAAUAGAAAAAAAAGUAAAAAAAUAUGGGAGCCGACUGACUAGAAGGGCCACAUUCUUGGAAACAAGUUGGCUGGGCUGGUUAGCAGGGCUUUAAACUAGAUAUGAUGGGGGAGGGGGUGUACUGUGUGACAGAGAAGCGUGUGGGAAUGCUGUCACCCUGGGAGGUGGUAAGGGAAAACCCCAGACUUGUCCUGGAGGUAUUAGGGAGGGCUCCACUGGUAAGGCAACGAGGCCAAUAGCCAAGCUGAAGUGCCUCUAUACCAAUGCACACAGCAUUGGAAAUAAUCAGGAGGAGCUAGAGACCGUGGCACAAUUGGGAAAGUAUGACCUAAUUGCUAUCACGGAAACAUAGUGGGAUGAAUCCCCGAUUGGAAUACCCUGAUUGAGGACUACAGGCUUUUCAGAAGGGAUAGACAGGGUAGGAGGGGUGGCGGAGUUGCCCUCUAUAUUAGGAAUUGGAUAGAUUGUGAAGAGCUGUGUCUGAGGAACAGCCACAAUCAGGUCGAGAGUUUGUGGGUAAAAAUCAAGGAUCGGUCCAGCAAUGGGCAUCUAGUGGCUGGGGUCUGCUACAGGACAUCUGAUCAGGAGGAGGCUGUGGAUGCGGCCUUCUUGCUUCAGCUGCAGGAGGUGUUGCGCUUGAGGGCUCUUGUCCUGAUGAGGGAUUUCAACCACCCGGAUAUCUUCUGGGAUAGUGGCAUGGCGGGUGGCAGACAAUCCAGGAGAUUCCUGGAGUCUGUCAAGGACAACUUCCUGAUCCAGGUAAUAGAUGGACCGACCCGAGGUGAAGCCUUACUGGAACUGGUGCACACUAAUGCAGAGGAGAGCAUUAGAGACGUUAAGAUUGGAGGCAGCAUGGGCUGUAGUGACCAUGCCUUGAUGGACUUUGUGAUCUUGAAGAAUGCAGGCCUGGCUAAAAGCAGAGCUUGGACUCUGUGCUUUAGGAGAGCAAACUUCCUGCUGCUCAAGGAACUGCUGAGUGGGAUCCCCUGGGAAACUGUCCUUAAGGGCAUGGGUACAGAACAGAGCUGGCAGCUCUUUAAGGACACCCUUCUGAGAGUGCAACGGCUCUCUAUCCCCCAGCAGAAGUCAAGUAGGGGAGGCAGGCAACCAUCGUGGCUGUGCAAGGACCUGCAGCUUAAACUGAGAGAAAAGGGGGGAAUUUAUAGAAGGUGGAAGCAGGUUGUGUAUCCUGGGAGGAAUACAGCGCUGUUGCCCGUGUGUGCAGAGAUAGGAUUAGGAAAGCCAAGGCACAGAUGGAGAUGAACUUGGUGAGGGAUGUGAAAGAUAACAAGAAGAGGUUCUACAGGUUCUACAGGCAGGAGGAGACGGACCAAGUGUUCCCCCUCUGAUGAAAGGCAAUGGGGAGCUGGCUUCCUCAGUUUUCACGGGUUGUCAGGCUUCCCGUGUCUGCCAGGACCACAAACCUGUAUGUGAGGGUGUGGGGAGUGGUUUCUGUCCCACUGUAAUGGUGGAACAAGUCCGAGUCCUCCUCAUGACAUUGAAUGUGUAUAAGUCCAUGGGUCUGGAUGAUAUCCAUCCUAGGGUUCUGAAAGAGAUGGCUGAUGUUGUUGCUGAGCCACUCUCCAUCAUAUUUGAAAAAUCAUGGCUGUCUGGUGAAGUUCCCACUGACUGGAAAAAGGGAAACAUUACUCCCAGUUUUAAGAAAGGGAGAAAGGAGGAUCUGGGGAACUACAGGCCAGUGAGCCUCACCUCUGUGCCUGGGAAGAUCAUGGAGCAGAUCCUCCUAGAAGCUAUGUUAAGGCACAUAUUGGAUGAAGAGGUGAUCUGAGACAGGCAGCAUGGCUUCACCAAGGGCAGAUUGUGCCUGACCAAUCUGGUGGCCUUCUACAAUGGAGUGAUGGCUUCGGUGGCUGGGAGAAGGGCAGUGGAUGUCAUCUACCUGGACUUCUGCAAGGCCUUUGACAUGGUCCCUCACCACAUCCUUCCAGGUUUAGGUUGGAUAUUAGGAAGUUUUUCACACAGAAUGUUUCACACAGUGUGUGGUGACACACUGGAACAGGUUGCCCAAGGAGGCUGUGGAUUCCCCAUCCCUGGAGGUAUUCAAGGCCAGGCCGGAUGUGGCGCUGGGCAGCCUGGUCUAGUGGUUGGCGACCCUGCACAUAGCGGGGGGGUUGAAACUAGAUGAUCAUUGUGGUCCUUUUCAACCCAGGUGUAAGAGAUUAUUCUUUUAUAUGAUUGACUCAAAGUUUGCUGAGGAACAAGUCCAGGCAAGUCCUGGGCAAAGGUAGAGAAAUCUUUUGUGUGGAGUACACUGAUGGACAGGUCCUGGCUAAGGGUUGUGAAAUCCUUUAAGGAGCACAGAUGGACAAGGCCAGGGGCAACGAGAGAGAGAGAUAAGCUGCUGAUAAUGGCUGGGAAACGGUCUUUUGUGUGGACUUAUCUCAAGGAAGAUGGCCAUCUCAGGAGGCACACACAUGACUCUUGCUCAAGCACCCAGGGAUGUCACGUAGGCAAGAAAAAAAAAAGGAGGAUAAAAGAGGGUCCAACAACCAAGAGGCUAGAGGGUUUUCUGCCAUCAGAUCCCUCACCACGAUGGACUCGAGGUUUCUGCCAUCAGAUCCUUCACUACAGACCAUAUGUUGACGGACUUCCCUGGGCCUGCUACCUGAGACCUGCUGCUUCCUCCUGGGCUUACUCGGCGGCUUUUUCCUGGACCCACCCGGUACUUGCAAUCUCUCGUUGCCCAAGACCGGCCUCGCUGCUCCUGCCCUUCGGCCUCGGGCCAUCGGAACGGCGUGCAAUGGGACUACUGUCGGAUCCUGGUGGUGGCUAUCCCCGCUUGCUUCUUGCUUCUUUCUGUCUUUUCUAUCGCUCGCCUUCCCUUCCCCAUCACCCCAGUCCGUAAUAGUGUCCGUCCUCCCCUUUCUUCAUCUCCUUAUUAACAUUUGUAAUAAACUGGUCGGACCAACAUUUGAACCGUUGUUUCUUAAUCUCACGCUGGGCAUACAUAUUUCAAAGAACCUC